AGCGACGCCGCGUGAACGAAGAAGGCCUUGAGGUUGUAAAGCUCUUUUCUGGAGGGGGAAUGACCGUGGCACCGAAUGGCCGCGGGAUGACUUGAAUCCCGGAACAAGCCCCGGCUAACUACAUGGCGCCAGCCUCGUUCACACUUACGGGGCGAGCGUUGUUCGGAAUCAUUGGGCGUAAAGGGCGUGGAAGCGGCACUGCUCGUCCGGCGUGAAACACCCCAGCCCAACCGGGUGGGUGCGCUGGAAGCUGCGGGGAUUGAGUACAGGAGGGGAUGCCGGAAUUCCAGGUGUAGGGAUGAAAUCUGUAGAUAUCUGGAAGAACACCGAUUGCGAAGGCUGGCAUCUGGACAUGUACUGACGCUAAGACGCUAAAGUGCGGGGAGCACACAGGUUUAGAUACCCUGGUAGUCCGCACAGUAAACGAUGUGCACCAGGUGGCGGGGGUAGAACCCCCGGUACCGUAGCAAACGCAUUAAGUGCACCGCCUGGGGAGUAUGCUCGCAAGGGUGAAACUCAAAGGAAUUGACGG
rnacentral:rRNA from 1 species